AGUAUCCGCUCCCCUGUGAGAACGCCCUUUAACCCCUUCUAGGGACAAGGAGCUGGUAUCAGGCACGAAAAUCUGCCCAAAACACCUAGCCACGCCACACCCACAAGGGAAUUCAGCAGUGAUUAACAUUGAGUAUUAGCGUAAGCUUGACUCAGUUAAAGUAAGACAGAGCCGGCUAAUCUGGUGCCAGCCGCCGCGGUUACACCACGUGGCUCAAAUUGACCCCCUCCGGCGUAAAGCGUGAUUAAAGUUAUUCCUUUCUAGAGUUAAACUAAAACUAAGCUGUGACACGCCUGUUUAUUAAGAAACCCAAAAACGAAAGUCACUCUAAUAUAAUCAACUUGAACUCACGACAGCUGGGGAACAAACUGGGAUUAGAUACCCCACUAUGCCCAGCCGUAAACUUUAACUUACAUUCAAAUCGCCAGGGAACUACGAGCUAAGCUUAAAACCCAAAGGACUUGACGGUACCCCAUAUCCCCCUAGAGGAGCCUGUUCUAUAAUCGAUAAUCCACGUUUAACCUCACCAUUUUUAGUUAAUCAGCCUGUAUACCUCCGUCGUCAGCUUACCACGUGAGCGCCAAUUAGUGAGCUUAAUGUCUUUCACCAACACGUCAGGUCAAGGUGCAGCAAAUGAAAUGGGAAGAGAUGGGCUACACUUUCUAUAUUAGAAAAAACGAAAAACUACUUAUGAAAACUAGUUGGAAGGCGGAUUUAGCAGUAAAAAGGAAUCAGAAUGUCCCUUUUAACCCGGCACUGGGGUGUGUACACACCGCCCGUCACCCUCUUCAAAGCUUAUAACCUAGUUCUUAACAAACUAAAGCAUAACAGAAUAGGCAAGUCGUAACAUGGUAAGUAUACCGGAAGGUGUGCUUGGAAA
rnacentral:ncRNA from 1 species